GAUGAACGCUGGCGGCGUGCCUAAUACAUGCAAGUCGAGCGAACAGACGGGGAGUUUGCUCCUCUGACGUUAGCGGCGGACGGGAGAGUAACACGUGGAUAAACUACCUAUAAGAAUGGGAUAACAUCGGGAAACCGGCGCUACUACCGGAUAAUAUAUUGAAUUGCAUGGUUCAAUAGUGAAAGACGGUUUUUGUGUAGCUUAUAGAUGGAUAAGGCCCGGAUCAGCUUGUAGGUUAGGUAGAGGCUUACCAACGUUGCGAAGGGAAACCGACCUGAAAGGGAGGUCGACCAGCCGGUAACUGAGACUGGGUCCCGACUCCGACGCGGGGCAGCAGUAGGAAAUCCUCCGCAAUGCACGAGAGCGUGACGGAGCAACGCCGCGUGAGGCAUGAAGGUCUCCUGAUCGGAAAACUCUGUUGGUAGUAGAGAACAAAUAUUCUUUUACCUAUGCACGUCUUGACGGUACCCGGACAGAAAGCCCCGGCUAACUACGUG
rnacentral:rRNA from 1 species